rnacentral:misc_RNA from 1 species
GUGAUUUCCUCAAGGAGGUUUCGAUGAUCGGUGAUGUUUCCGAUAAGGUCUCCAAACUUGACGGUUUUGUUAAGAGAUUGGAAGAGGAAAUGAGCAAGAUCGAUGCGUUUAAGCGCGAGCUCCCUCUUUGCAUGCUUCUCUUGAAUGAUGCAAUUCUACUUUUGAAGGCAGAGUCAAUACAAUGUGCGGCAUCAAAUAAUCCACCAUUUUUAGAAGAAUUCAUCCCAUUGAAGAAAAACUGUCAUGAU